CGCCGCCCUGCUGCCCACCUGCAGCGGCUACAAAGGCGCGCCCGAUGUCCGCGUGCCUCGGAGCACGUGCGUCCGUUCCCCGUCUCUCAUACGGGACGGGAGUGGGGGAGGGGAGCGAUGCCAGGGGUAGAGCGGGAUAUCGGAGAAAGCCGUGUCCCCACAGGGCCCCAGGGCGCUGAGCGGUGGGGAUGGUUAGGCCGGGCUCCGUCUCCAGCCAGGGAUCAGACUCCUCUCCGUACUCCGCGAGAGAGGGAGCUCCCCAGCCCUGACGCUCCCCGAGGUCUUUGGCGCGUUUGCCCGGAGGGUGGGGAAUGGGUGACAAGCCUCGCCUCCCACAGAGAAGGAAACACGCCAUCACCUCCCAGGACCUGUGACCAACUGCCGGUCCCUUUAAGCAGCCAGGACCCUAACUCAGCCAUGUGGCCGGCUGAAGCAGAGCUCCUUUCUGUCACGCGUAGGAGCCAACACCAGGUGGCGCUCUGGAGCAGCUCACAAGCUCCCGGAGCCGCGCGGGAGAGUGGCUCUUAGCCGAGCUUUGUGACUGGCCCUUCUCUCUUGUCCGUCUAGGAGCUGCGUCGGUGUCCCCGCCAAUGGGAGAGAUGCUCUGGCCCUCAUCCUAUUUGCAAAGACUGGUUCCCUUCAUCCCGACUGUUUCCUUCCACGUCACUCACAAAGGCACACUUGUGUUACUGGCGCUAGUCAGAACGUUUGAGUAAUCGGGCAGACCCGGGCCAGCCUUCCCCGUCCCCACGCGUUCCCUGGCACUAACGGCAGCCGUUGCCCCGUUGCUCCUCGGGAGUUUUCCCACUCCCUGGUCAUCACCGAGUCGCUUCUGCUGGUGCCUUCAGAAAGCCGAGAGAGCGUUAGGCAGGCUUCUGCUUCCAGGGGGUCCUGGCCCUGCCCCCCUCUCUCCUGCUUCGGGCUUCUCCUGCAUUCAGUCUCUUUGCCAUCCCGCUCCUCCUGGAAGCGGGAUUAUCACAGUCUGAUCAAAGUAGCCAGAGAGCAAAAAAGAACCCGCAUCUUGCCUCCAGUGUCUCCCCCGUGCUCAAGAUCAGCUCUUACUUAAAAUCUCUCACUCCAUUUGGCCCCAGAAUGUUAUCACCUUGGAACGUCCAUCCCUCUAACAAGCUUGCUCCUUUCUUUCUCCCAUGGAUGGGUUCCUCCAUUUUGAGAAGGGCAUUCUCUAAUUGCUUCUCACAGUCCUGACUUCCCCACCUUUAAAACAUGUCUUCGCCAUACUGGCCCCUAUCCUUUCAUUAGUGAAUUCCACCUGAAAGGUUCGAGGAGGGGUCCAGGCUAUCUAGUGUUCCUCCCACUUCUUUGCUCCCUUUCUAGUUUUAUAGCACUAUUUUGUGCCUUAUCUUUCCACAUUUUAGAGUGUAGGCUCUUUGAGAGUAGAGUGCUUAUAUUUUAUUUCCAGCAUUUAACAGUGCUUGGCAACUAAUAAACACUUAACAAAUGCUUUGAAUCUUAUCAACCUGAUCUUUUUGAAAUUAAGUGCACAAGAAGUCACGAUCUGCUCCACCACCUCUACUAACACCCCAAGUCUAACUGGAAUGGACAUAGAUGUUACAUUUGUAUUUAUGCAUCUAGAUAGAUUGCCUAUAUAUAUAUAUAUGUAUGCCUCUCUAUAGCAGAAUGCAAGAUAUUUGUAUUCAAGAACUUUUAGAUUUUUACAUUUUUAUCUUCAGUUUUUAGCACAGCAUCUUUGUGCAUAACAGAUGCUAAAUGAAUGUUUACUUGAAUUUAGUCUAACUCCCUCAUUUUGCUGAUGAGGAAAUGAAGCCCCAGAGAAGUGACUUUGGCAGUCACCUCCUGCAGAGCAAUUCUUUCUAACCUUUAAUUGCCUGGUUCAACCCUCAUUUUUAUAGGAGAGAGAAAAUGAACUAUAUAAGACUGAACAUAUAGCAAAUGGGGUCCAAAGCCAGGUAGUCGGGAUCCAAAUUCCUUGUUCUUUUCAUUGUUUCAUGUUACCCACUCUGUUUCAUGACCUACUCUGCUUCCCCUAAAAGAUGGGAUAUAUCAACUUUUGAUCCAGCAGUGUUUCUUCUGGGGGUGUGUGCGUGGCAAAGAGAUUAUUAAAAAAGAGAAAAGGACCCAUGUGCAAAAAUGUUUGCAGCAAUUGUCAGUGCUGUAAAGUUACCCAUACAUAUAACCUGUAAAUAAAAGGCUAUUAAAUAAAAUUUAAAAAAAAAAAAAAACAGGAAAAAAAUGUUUGCAGCAGUCUUUUGUAGUGGCAAGGAACUGGAAACUGAGUGGAUGCUCAUCAGUUGGAGAGUGGCUGAAUAAAUUAUGAUAUAUGAAAUGGAAAAUUAUAGAAAUGAUCAUUAGACUGAUUUCAGAGAGGUCUGGAGAGACUUAACAUGAAUUGAGGUUAAGUGAAGUAAGUAGGAUCAAAGGAAUAUUGUACACAGCAUCAACA
ensembl:lncRNA